UACGUAGGGCGCAAGCGUUGUCCGGAAUUAUUGGGCGUAAAGAGCUCGUAGGCGGCUUGUCACGUCGGAUGUGAAAGCCCGGGGCUUAACUCCGGGUCUGCAUUCGAUACGGGCUGGCUAGAGUGCGGUAGGGGAGAUUGGAAUUCCUGGUGUAGCGGUGGAAUGCGCAGAUAUCGGAAGGAACACCUGUGGCGAAAGCGGCUCACUGGACCAUUACUGACACUGAGGCACGAAAGCUAGGGGAGCAAACAGG
rnacentral:rRNA from 1 species